UGUUCCAGCCCGGGAUCGAACCGGGGACCUUGUACGUGUGAAACACUAGUGAUAACGGCUACACCACAGAAAC